GGAGGAGUCGCGUAGUCCGGCCGAGCGCGCGUGAUUGGAAAUCACGUAAUGGGGCAACUCAUUCGAGGGUUCAAAUCCCUCCUCCUCCGCCA
rnacentral:tRNA from 1 species